rnacentral:rRNA from 1 species
GAGACUGCAAAGUGGAGCGAAACCCAGAAAAGUACUCUCAGUUCAGAUUGUGGGCUGUAACCCGCCCACAUGAAGUUGGAGUUGCUAGUAAUCACGGAUCAGCAUGCCGCGGUGAAUACGUUCCCGGGCCUUGUGCACACCGCCCGUCACACCAUGGGAGUUGGGAGCGCCCGAAGCCGGUGAGGUAACCGAGAGGAGCCAGCCGUCGAAGGUGAGACCAAUGACUGGGGUGAAGUCGUAACAAGGUAGC